GAUGAACGCUAGCGGCGGGCUUAAUACAUGCAAGUCGAACGGUAACAGGUCUUCGGACGCUGACGAGUGGCGUACGGGUGCGUAACACGUACACAACCUGCCCCAAAGAGGAGAAUAGCUCUGGGAAACUGGGAAUAAUACUCCAUAGCACUUUUGCGACGCAUGUUGCGGGAGUUAAAGUUACGGCGCUUUGGGAUGGGUGUGCGGGCCAUUAGGUAGUUGGAGAGGUAACGGCUCACCAAGCCGACGAUGGCUAGCUGGUCUGAGAGGAUGAUCAGCCACACGGGCACUGAGACACGGGCCCGACUCCUACGGGAGGCAGCAGUAAGGAAUAUUGGACAAUGGGCGGAAGCCUGAUCCAGCCACGCCGCGUGCAGGAAGAAGGUCCUCUGGAUUGUAAACUGCUUUUGUUUGAGGCGAAAAAACGGGAUUUAUCCUGUCUUGACGGUAUCAGACGAAUAAGCGCCGGCUAACUACGUGCCAGCAGCCGCGGUAAU
rnacentral:rRNA from 1 species